CUUUUUUACAUACGGUUCAGACACGGCUGAAGGCCAAGGUCAAGGUGAAAGUUAAGAGUCUAGUCACUAUG
rnacentral:sRNA from 1 species